CGACUCAACUGGCUCAAUCGCUGUGUGACAAGCCUCGCACCGGCCACUCAUAAAAAAAAGACCCACAUGCCACACUGUUCCCCUCUCUGUCUUAUCUCCUUCCUCUAGAGAGGACUGGUCACUGUUUUUCCCCACCGCAAGCGCUGCUCCGGCCAAAUCCGGUCAGCUUGUACUGCUCCGGCGAUGCCCUCCCUUCGUAGGCUCACCUCUUUGCGCUGCUUCUUAUCCAUCCGCGUGCCCCCAUGGCUUCUACUGGCUGCUGCAAUGAAUGGUCGGGGGAUGAAGGUGCCGCGCGAAUCCACCUGAGACGCUGCUGCUGCACAACGGCGAGCUCAACGAGCCCGACGACGACGGCAAGCUGGAGGCUCAUACCGGCGGGCUCGAUAAGGAAUACGAGGACGGCGAUUCCCAGAGUAGCCCGAGCGACCUGGAAGCGGAGGAGGGUAGCAGCCAUAGGAGGCGUCGUCUACGCCAUAGGAGGGUAGCAGCCAGAGGACGGCGAUUCUCAUAUGCCUGGGCCGCCGGCCCGCCGCGCUGCAACGCCCUCCACGAUGGGCGCCCCAAGAUUCUUCGGCCGCAGGAGGCGUCUGACGGCAGCGGCGCGUCUCCGGCCAAAUCCGGUCAAAUCCACUGGAAAAACAGUGGCAGCGGCGCGGCAGCUGGACCUCGCAGCCCUCCUGCCCGGCCAAGCGACAAGCCCCAAUAGCAGAACCCAAUGGUCGUCGCGCAGCAGCUUUCUUGAUGUUAGAAGAGUGAAAGCAGAGCAAGGGAGAGCAUGUGAUUGUUUGAUAAUCCCUUAAUUCUUCACGGCCAUAUGAUGCUGUCCAACCAAGUUUGUGUUUCCACAUUGCUUCUUAUGGAAUUGAAAGCGUCUUCAAAGGCUUCCUCUUCCUCAUACUUGUACAUGCAAGCACUGAAAUCAGCAAGUACAUUUGGUCCAUCCUCGUCUUUUUUCUUAUGAGGUAAGUGCCUGAUGGCAUUUUCCAUUAUGUGAAAAGUGCACAACCCAUGCCAUGCUUCGGUAAAUACUGCCUGAAUUGCAUUACCCAUUGCUACAUCUUGAUCAGUAAAGAUUGUCCUUGGUUGUUUUUUGUUAUGCACUGAUAGGAACGUGUUGAACAACCAUUUGAAUGAUUCAAAUGUUGAAUGAUUCAAAUGUCUCAUCAUAUAAAAGUGCAGCACCAAAAAUGACCAUUUCUCUGAAAUGGUUGAAGCCAACAAACACACCAAAGGGUAUGUACUCUUUGUUUGUCCCAAAUGUUGUAUCGAAGGUAACAACAUCACCGAAAUGAGCAUAGUCAAUUAUCAUCCUUGCAUCAGACCAGAAGAUAUUUGCUAUAUUUUCAUCGCAAUCUAGUUGCAGGUCAUAUUCAAAUGCAGGAUUCUCAUUCUUUUUAUCUCUAAAAUACUUGAGCAUACUUCCAGCUUCACCAUACAUCAGGUCCCUUUGUCGCUUGGUUCACAAGUGGUUCUUGCGAUCACGACAUGUGUAGCCAAGGUUCAGUGGACCACCAACUUGUCGACUUGCUAGCUCAUGGGCUUUUCUGGGUACAAUUCCUGAAUCAUCUGAUGUUUCAAUUUCAAAUGCUUGCAAGGCCGAAAUCUUCCUCUGUGAUGGCAUCAAGUGGCUUGUCCCAGGUAAUUGCAAGACAUGGUUGUGUUCAACAACUAACUCAUGCACCUCAUAAUUUCCUGCUUCUCGGUCUAUAGUAAUUCCCAUUCGAACAUUGCAGCCGGUCCUUGUUUCUGCACGAGGACGCUUUGUACUAUUAUCCCUUUUGUCUUUUCUUCUGUAGCCCUCAUUGGAACAAACAUAUCUGGCUGAAGUGAUUACUCCAUCGAGUUUGCUCUUGUUUUCAUAAUUUAUCCUUACAUCAAAACCAAUAUGACCUCCAUAACAUGUCCAAAAGUUCCAAGCCUCUUUUGUGGAAUUGAAUUUCAUACCAAUCUGAGGCAUCCAACUAGGAACCACAUUUUUCCUAUAAAAAUUACACAUAAAUUAUUUGUUUGUAUGUUUACACUACAAUCAUAAGGUGAUAUGACCUGAGAAUUUAACAAAACUGUCGGUACCUGUUAGCAUCCUCAUUAGAGCUAGUCAUAUUCUCCAUUAGACUUUCUCUUCUUUUUUGUUGCUAGGAGAAGGACAACAAAAGGGAGAUCAUCUGCAUUAAUCUCCUGUAAUGUUUUGGAAAUCCCAGGUACUUGAUGAGCAAAUCAUCUAUCUUACAAGUAAAUAUUUGAAUAUAUUCAUGCAUUUUAUCUUGAGCUUGUCCAAAACAAUAGAGAUCACUUCUAUUAAAAUUAUUUUUUCACUCUAACAUAAUCUAAAAGGUGCAGAAAAUAAGUUUUGCAUCUUGCCCUUAUCAUCCUCCAUUUAAGAAAAUAGUACCAUAGCAAACUCAAUCUACAAAUUGUGUGCCUUGAGAAUAUGAAUACAAUUAGAGCAUAUGUCACAUACCUUGAGAUUAAUUGUCUUCUUUUUUGUUGCUAGAAGAAGGAAGGCAAAAGGGAGAUAAUAUUCAUCGCCUACGGAUCAGCUUGCCUUGGUUUCGCUCUGAACAUGGAGGAUGAUCAGAAGAAAGAUAGGGCAAAAGGGAGUUGAUCUGCGCCAGGGUUCGGCCCCUUAUCUUGCCUUGGUUGUGCUCUGAACACGAAGGACGAUCAGAAGAAAGAUAGGGCAAAAGGGAGUUGAUCUGCGCCAGGGUUCGGCUCCUUAGCUUGCCUUGGUUGCGCUCUGAACAUGGAGGACGAUCAGAAGAAAGAUAGGGCAAAAGGAGGAACGAGGAAGAUGAGCGGGACAAACGCAAAGAGGUUGUUGUUUAGCGCCAUGGCGAUUAUCAGGGUGUGUUUUGUUUGGCGCCAAUGUGAGUAUCUUCGUGGUUCUGUUUGGCGGCAAUCCUGCAGCCGUAGGAUAUUUUGUACCACAUAAUUAGCUGUUUGUUUCCAUUUAUUAACAGAAUCAAGUGGGGGUAGUGAGAGUCGUCAGAUUUAAAUGGACGGCUAAUGUGAGUUGGUACAGUACCCGUGCAGUAAUAACGUGACUGCAGAGGAGCCGAACCCGUUAUAUAUGCU